rnacentral:rRNA from 1 species
GCUUGCUCCUUUGACGUUAGCGGCGGACGGGUGAGUAACACGUGGGUAACCUACCUAUAAGACUGGGAUAACUUCGGGAAACCGGAGCUAAUACCGGAUAACAUUUGGAACCGCAUGGUUCUAAAGUGAAAGAUGGUUUUGCUAUCACUUAUAGAUGGACCCGCGCCGUAUUAGCUAGUUGGUAAGGUAACGGCUUACCAAGGCAACGAUACGUAGCCGACCUGAGAGGGUGAUCGGCCACACUGGAACUGAGACACGGUCCAGACUCCUACGGGAGGCAGCAGUAGGGAAUCUUCCGCAAUGGGCGAAAGCCUGACGGAGCAACGCCGCGUGAGUGAUGAAGGGUUUCGGCUCGUAAAACUCUGUUAUUAGGGAAGAACAAAUGUGUAAGUAACUGUGCACGUCUUGACGGUACCUAAUCAGAAAGCCACGGCUAACUACGUGCCAGCAGCCGCGGUAAUACGUAGGUGGCAAGCGUUAUCCGGAAUUAUUGGGCGUAAAGCGCGCGUAGGCGGUUUCUUAAGUCUGAUGUGAAAGCCCACGGCUCAACCGUGGAGGGUCAUUGGAAACUGGGAAACUUGAGUGCAGAAGAGGAAAGUGGAAUUCCAUGUGUAGCGGUGAAAUGCGCAGAGAUAUGGAGGAACACCAGUGGCGAAGGCGACUUUCUGGUCUGUAACUGACGCUGAUGUGCGAAAGCGUGGGGAUCAAACAGGAUUAGAUACCCUGGUAGUCCACGCCGUAAACGAUGAGUGCUAAGUGUUAGGGGGUUUCCGCCCCUUAGUGCUGCAGCUAACGCAUUAAGCACUCCGCCUGGGGAGUACGACCGCAAGGUUGAAACUCAAAGGAAUUGACGGGGACCCGCACAAGCGGUGGAGCAUGUGGUUUAAUUCGAAGCAACGCGAAGAACCUUACCAAAUCUUGACAUCCUUUGAAAACUCUAGAGAUAGAGCCUUCCCCUUCGGGGGACAAAGUGACAGGUGGUGCAUGGUUGUCGUCAGCUCGUGUCGUGAGAUGUUGGGUUAAGUCCCGCAACGAGCGCAACCCUUAAGCUUAGUUGCCAUCAUUAAGUUGGGCACUCUAGGUUGACUGCCGGUGACAAACCGGAGGAAGGUGGGGAUGACGUCAAAUCAUCAUGCCCCUUAUGAUUUGGGCUACACACGUGCUACAAUGGACAAUACAAAGGGCAGCUAAACCGCGAGGUCAUGCAAAUCCCAUAAAGUUGUUCUCAGUUCGGAUUGUAGUCUGCAACUCGACUACAUGAAGCUGGAAUCGCUAGUAAUCGUAGAUCAGCAUGCUACGGUGAAUACGUUCCCGGGUCUUGUACACACCGCCCGUCACACCACGAGAGUUUGUAACACCCGAAGCCGGUGGAGU